CCUACGGGUGGCAGCAGUGGGGGAUAUUGCACAAUGGGGGAAACCCUGAUGCAGCGACGCCGCGUGGGUGAAGAAGCGCCUCGGCGCUUAAAGCCCUGUCAGCAGGGAAGAAAAUGACGGUACCUGAAGACGAAGCCCCGGCUAACUCCGUGCCAGCAGCCGCGGUAAUACGGAGGGGGCAAGCGUUGUCCGGAUUUACUGGGUGUAACGGGGGCGCAGGCGGCGAUGCAAGCCUGGAGUGAAAGCCCGGGGCCCAACCCCGGGACUGCUCUGGGUACUGCGUGGCUAGAGUGCAGGAGGGGUAGGGGGAAUUCCUGGUGUAGCGGUGAAAUGCGUAGAUAUCAGGAGGAACAUCGGUGGCGAAGGCGGCUUGCUGGACUGUAAUUGACGUUGAGGAACGAAAGCGUGGGGAGCAAAUAGGAUUAGAUACCCGGGUAGUC
rnacentral:rRNA from 1 species